AUACGUAGGUGGCAAGCGUUGUCCGGAAUUACUGGGUGUAAAGGGUGUGUAGGCGGGUAGGCAAGUCAGAUGUGAAAUACCGGAGCUCAACUCCGGGGCUGCAUUUGAAACUGUUUAUCUUGAGUGCAGGAGAGGAAAGCGGAAUUCCUAGUGUAGCGGUGAAAUGCGUAGAUAUUAGGAGGAACACCAGUGGCGAAGGCGGCUUUCUGGACUGUAACUGACGCUGAGGCACGAAAGCGUGGGGAGCGAACAGGAUUAGAUACCCUGGUAGUCCACGCUGUAAACGAUGGAUACUAGGUGUAGGGGCUCAAAGCCUCUGUGCCGGAGUUAACACAAUAAGUAUCCCACCUGGGGAGUACGAUCGCAAGGUUGAA
rnacentral:rRNA from 1 species